AGCCCAGAGGAGGAGGGGUGGAGGGAGUUUCAGUUUGGGUCCUGUUUUCUGCACCUACAAGCUCUGUUUUAGACCAUGUUCCGUCGUCUAAUAAACCUUCUGUUUUACUGGCUGGCUGAGAGUCCCGUCUCAGAUAAACCAUGGAGAAGUGGGGACCAUAAAGACACAACAAUAGAAGUCAAGAUUUCACACCCACGACUGUUGGUAAGUGAUUUCUUGCCAGACAGAUUCAAUCAACCAAGGUCCGCGGUGACUGCAGAGUUGGGGGGCAGGACCCUCUGGCUUUCCCAGGACCCCGCCUGGGCGGACUCGCUGUGGGAAGCGCACGGAGGGGCAGAGGAUGCUGAAUACUCCGAGGUCAGACCCAGGAAGGUGGAGCCAUGUGAGCUGUGUGUCCUGAAGACAGGCUGCUCCCAGAAAGGAGACUGCCCCAGAGUCCUGCCUGGCUUCAUAGGGAGCAGUUCCAGAGAAUCGCCCAGGGACUCCGUGACAACUGGUGGCAGAGGUGGGAUGUACUGCACCCCAUGGACGGCGCUUCCUGCAGUAAGUGACUGGGGAGCAGUAAAACGAAGGGGAUUGACGAGGACCAGGCAUGCUGAAGGCUCAGCGAGGAGCGGUUUUGGGGGGCGGUUAACCCCUGGGAGUGUGUGACCAGCGAGAAGGACUGUGCAGUAAUGGGGUCCCCCUGGGGACUGCGGUGAGCAGUCUCAGGGGCAGAGGAGCCUGCAGCUUGGCCCUGGGAGAAAGAAGGACUUUUGCAGUAACAGGGUUACCCUGGGGAUUGCAGCGAGCGGUCCCAGGGGCGGAGGAGUCUGCAGCUCGACCCUGGCAAAGAGGGGGUGACCUCGAGAAGGGCUGGCACACUAGGGGUUCUCCCUGGAAACCGUGGGGAGCUGAGAGCACACAGGCCUGUGAGUCCACAACAGCUUGGGAAGAGCAGAGUGAUGUCCUUCUUAAGGAGACAGUGACAGGCCAUUGUAACCCUGUGCAAAAAGAGAGGGUUGCGUGUUGGAAAGUUCACCAAAGCAGAGUUAAUCGCUCAGCUGGAGGAGGAUGACCGCUCUAAGGAACAGAUUCCUGACCCCAAAUGGGGCUAUAGCAGGAUCUGGGAGCAGCUGGAGUAGUAGCCAGGCAUCGCCAAGACUCCUAUCCCCGACCAGACGAGGGUCUUCACGAUUGGGUUCCCCAUCCGGGGGUCGGAGACCGAGGGGAUUGGAGCUGAGUGCAAGAGAGCAAGAGGACUGUGAGAGACAGCAAGAGCCCAAGAAAGAGCUGCAGAAGCAGCAGCUGCAUGAACUGGCGAUGGUGGAGCGGAGAGGCCUAGGGGACCUCCCCAGGGUGAGUGGGGAUAUACCUCGGGGGGCCAGUUCUGCAGGGAACCUCAAGACUAAAUUGCUGCCCCUGGUUAAGGACGGGGGGGAUGUGGAUGCCCACUUCACUGCCUUUGAGCAGGCUGGAGAUCUGAACCAGGGGGACCCUGCAGAAAAGCCCCAGUGCUGGGUCCCAAGGCCAUAUACUCCUGUCAGCCAGAUGUGUGGGGAGGUGGACAGGCUCCCACUCCUGACCCCAACCUAUGUCUGUGUGGAGUCUCCUGGGGUCGGGCCCCUCGGACCUCCAGUGGGAGCAGAAGGUGAUGGUCAAUGGGGAGACAUUCCUGGGGUGGCGAGAUCCUGGGACAGAGAGAACUGGUGUCAGGCCCCGGGUGGUGCAGCCUCAGAUGCUGAGGGGCUGUGUGAGCUGGGUGAGGGUCCCAGGGACGAAGCCCCUCGCCCUGCCUAUGGCCCAGAUCCCUGUGCAGACCCAGGAGGGGUCGGGCUGGCUGGUCGUUGUGGUUCUCCAGGACACCAGCUGCGAGACCCUGUUGUGGGGUGACUGUGUCUCUUUGAGACAGGAUCCAGGCCCUGCUCCUGUAACUGCCAAGGGUUUGAAUUUGAAUCCAGGGAACCAAUCGGUGGAGAGGGAAAUGGUCAGUGAAAAUGCAGAUGACCAGGCUGGCAGGGGGGAGGAGCGGCUAGGCUCAGGCUACCUGCCAGCCUGUAACCAGAUCCCUGGGGCUGGGUGGGACAGAGAGACGCUCCCUGCCCCCUUGCACACCGGAGCGGGCUCUCAGGCUGGCUCUGAUGCACUGAGGAAAGCAGUGAGCUCGCUGCCUACCCCCACUGGGACAGCAAGGGCAGCGCUGAGCACAGUGGGAGCUGAGACCCCAGCUGAGGGGGGGAGACACAGGCAGGGCAGGGGAUCUGUGGGGAGCGGCAAGGUGCUGGGUAAGGAAAGUCUGGAUGAGCCUAGGCAGCCUUGUGAUCCGAUGGCCUUGUCUAGUCAGCAGUGUGGGAAGGCGAGGAGAGUGGAAGAUGAGUGUCCCUGGGCCUUACCUGUUAGCUGGGUGGAGAAGUGUGACAGUGAAGGAAACGUGCCUGUGUCUGUCAUUGACUUGCCUAUGGAGGGAGCUACCCUGAUCUCCAAGCAGUUGUCUGUGACCAGCCCUGUGUGCUGGGACAAGGGGAAAGAGAUCCCAAGCUGUGUGUCUGGUAAAGGAGAAAGUGUGUCCGGCUCUUCUUUGUCUGUGGAGCAGACAGAAGGGGCCUUUCAGCCAGGGAUGGUUGAGGGUCGUGCAGUUGUCUCAGAGCUGGUUCUGGAUUCAGCUAAAGCCCAGGAAGGGAAGGGUCCUAAGUUUGUGUCUGCUCCGGAGAAUGGCCCUGUAACUAGGUCGCAUCCAGUUAGUGUCUAUGUAAAAUCCCAGAGCCCAGACAAUUCUGGUGCUUGUAUUUUGCCUGUUGCUAGUGUGUGGCUGGGAAAGGGUGUCGCAACUCUGUCUAAUCAGGGUGAGAUCCUAGCCAGGGCACAAGGAGAGCAUGAAGGUGAUGUGAUUGUGUUACCUAUUGAGGGUGUGGAAACCUGUAGCAAGAAGGAAAAGAUUCCUGAACUUGUGUGUGGCAAAGGGAAGGAGAAUGCUUCCGACCUUUUAUCUAGGUAGUCUGUGAGUUUGCCUGAAAGGGGAUUGUGUAGGAAUCCGCCUGAUGGGCCAGAGGUGAUUCUGGAUGUAAGGGAGUGUGACGAAGUGGGACUGUUCUUAAUGUUUCCUCUGAAUAGUGUGGGGGUGCCUCAGUUUCCCCUAGGCAGUUCUUAAGUAUCUAGGGGGUGGAGUAAGGGUGUAUGAUCAUUGCAGAGCCCUAGAGGGCAGGUGUGUGAAGGGGUCUGGACACAGAGAAUGGCCGACACCCUGUUUCCUGGCAACUGAUGGCCUGGGCCCUUCCCCCCCUGCAAGGUGAGAGCUGAAGGGUUGGAGAACAAAGGAAUCAGGUGACCUCCUGGCCCGGGAAAGGGACAAAGCCCAGAGGAGGAGGGGCUGGAGGGAGUUUCAGUUUGGGGCUGGCUGGGACAUGGAGGGAAGUGCAGACGGGGUUGUCUGGCUCACUGCCCCCCAAAAUGGACCCAGCUGAGGGGUCCCGUUCUCUGCACCUAUAACCUCUGUUUUAGACCAUGUUCCUGUCUAAUAAACCUUCUGUUUUACUGGCUGGCUGAGAGUCACGUCUGACGCGGAGUUGUGGGGCAGGACCCUCUGGCUUCCCCAGGACCCCGCCUGGGCAGACUCGCUGUGGGAAGCGCACGGAGGGGCAGAGGAGGCUGAAUGCUCCGAGGUCAGACCCAGGAAGGUGGAAGCCGGGGGAGCUGUGUGUCCUGCAGACAGGCUGCUUCCCGAGAGGAGACUUCCCCAGAGUCCUGCCUGGCUUCGGAGGGAGCAGGUCCAGAGCAUCGCCCAGGGACCCCAUGACAGCUGCACACAGGGGUGGGGCCACACCCCCAGCUCUGCAGUGCGCCCGAUCCCGCUCCAGGCCUGCCACGCAGCUGCCCCACUUCCAAGAGGCAGCCUCAGCCCCAGCUUCCCCCGCCAGCGAGUCGAGUCGCACUGAGCCGGGCUCUGGGGGAGCCUUGGCUGCUCCCCAGGCACCAGCCCGGACCUGCAGCGACCCUCCGCACGGGCCCCGCAGGCGGGUUUGUCCGUUGCUCGGCCACAGCCGAGGGAAGCCCCAAGCCCACCGUUCCCAACCAGCUGCACCACUUGCGGGAGGCUGCUUGGUCUGUGCACCCCGAGUAUCACUUACAAGCUACUUGCUAACAAACUGCAAAGGGGCACGGCGCUGUUACUGAGCAAUGGCUGACUCCUGUAUUUUUACCCUAUAAUUAUAAAAUAAAUCCCUUGGAAUAGAAAUAUCGCACUUACAUAGUACAGCAACAGGGCCCUUCCUUUUCAGGCUUUGGUUUGUUUAAUGUUCCCUGGGAAUGGAUCGGUGUUUACUACAACAACAAAACCGGGUGAAAACUGGUGCAAAAAACUAAAUAAUUCUUCUGGGUAAAUAUCAGGAUCUUAUUUGGUGGGUGUAAAGACACGGGGGGAAGUAGUCAGUAAAUUAAUGCUUUGAAUUCCAUUCAUCGACGUGGUUUGCUGCAGAGCUAAAACUGAACUGAACCCGCAAGGCCACCGCUGAGCUUAGGAAACCAUUAGAUCUCCACUCCCCAAAUGAAACUUUUCAUUUGAAUAACCAGUUGCCUGUUGUAGACUCAGAAUUAUUAGCCUAUAAAUAUUUACAUUCAAGAAGUGGGCGGCCCCAUUUGCAGCGCAGACGCUCAACUUCCUCCUUGUCUCCUGUUUUGUUUUUUAAACUUUUGAAUGCUUCCUUGUGGUCUGAAGCGCGUUCGGAGACAGAUUUUUGUUUUAUUCCCAGUUUAGUGGAUCACAUCUUUAAACCAGCCCCUGCUAACAGCUUGAAACGUGCACGGGCGUGAGAUUCAUCGGUACGUUCGGAUGCACACGCACGGCCGAGCUUGCUGCAGGCCUGGCCAUUGUGAGUCUCGUCUGACUAACGCAGAGUCUGACUUCAAGAGGCAGCCGCACAGGCUAGCGUAUUAUCCCAAUGCAUCUAGCUCAGGCCAGGGGUUGCAUUUUCCUAACAAAACAAGUUGUUUUUAAUAUGUUUGAAUGACACAGACGUAGGGUGUAAAUCUGAAAAAACGGAGUAAUACGUUUUGUAAAACCCAGGACAUUUUUGGUAAAACUUGGUUUAAACUGAAAAUGCAGGGGUGUAUCCCGAGACCCUUGCGCACACGCACUCCUGCUUGAGCCCCCCUGGCCUAGACCCCUGGAGAAAGGACAGUUAACGCAGAGCCCGUCUUCCAGCUCACGUGCUGUGACCCCAUGGCUAGGCUCUGUCCCUCGCCAACUCCUUCCUUGCUCAGCUCCCCGGUGAGAGAGCACCGAGGUCCUUCCCGCAGCCAGCCCCUGGCUCUGGAGCUGGGUCAGUGCCUGCUUCCCUGCGGGGGGCAGGGGAUCCUCCUCACGCUCGGUGCCCACGUCCAGGGGCUGGGGCUGCUGUUGUCUGCUCCCGUUUUCCAUUGAUCUGGGUCGGCCUCGGCCAGUCCUUUGUAAGGGUCCGUCCAGUUGGCUCAGCCUGCUCAGCAACCCCCUUCCCCACAUCUCUUGGUCUGCCCUGAGAGAAAACUUGGUUCUUUUUCCCCUGCUGGGCAGCCAGGCACAGUAUAGGGGAAACCGAGGCACACAUGGGCCUCAUAAAACUAUUACAAACAAUUCCCCCUUUGACGCAGGUGCCCAACAUCAAGUUGUCCCUUGGCCUGUGGCUGCACGAGGGUCUCCAGGUCCCUGGCCGGGGCUGCUCCAGUUAAUUCAGCCCCCAUCCAGUGUGCAAGGACAUCCCGGUUACCCCCGCCCCCAAAGGCGCAGCACUCAGCACACUGCAGCUAUUACAGGACCACGGUUUAGUCAGGGAGCCUGCUGCCCUCCAGCCCUGCCCCUCCGCAAUCUUGGCAAUCCCUCCCUGGCCCUGCCCCGUGGGCACCCGUGUGGGGUUCAGGCUUUUACCUGCAGGGAUGUCAGACCCCCCCUUCUCUGGCCCACCCUCAUGCUUCUACUCUCUCGGGGCUGAUCUGGGCCUUGUAGGUCAGCCCCAGGGCAUGGGCCCUCCAACCAACCCGAGUGGGCCCAUAGGCUGGAGAGCGGCCCCUGGCACAUAGCUGCUGACUGCUCAGUAGUGCUGCUCAGAGGUAGGAAAAGGCUGCUUUGAAGAUGGCCCCAGUUUUCUAUCACUGGGGGAACACGCAGCAGAAACCUGGAUUCUUGCCCCACCCUGCGAGCCGACGGCAUUUGUUGGGGGCCAUGGAGCCCACGGCCGUGCACUUGGAGCCUUUGCUGGCUGACCAUUUGUGAUGUUACAAAGGUUGUCGUGUGAGGUGUCUAUGGAAAGGUUAUGGUUUGCUGGUUAUGAUUAUGCUGUCUGUAUGGGUAAAUCAUUUCUGUAGUUGAAGUUAUUAAUAUUGGCUAUGUCCUUGUAUCUCAAAUGUAUUUGAUUCCAAGUAACCUCAGUGAAGCAUUUGGUCAGCUUCUUGAGAAGGGACUGAAUGCAUCCGAUGAAGUGAGCUGUAGCUCACGAAAGCUUAUGCUCAAAUAAAUUGGUUAGUCUCUAAGGUGCCACAAGUACUCCUAUUCUCGGUAAGUGCCCAGUCAAGAAACACUUAACGCACAAUGGACUUUGGGAGACGCCAAUCCACAUCUGAGCUUUCCUGGGAACCUUCAAACUAACAUGUAAACAAUGUAUAGUAGGGGAAGCAAAAGUGGAUGGGAACCUGGGAGGCAGUGACCAUGAGAUGGUCGAGUUCAGGAUCCUGACACAGGGAAGAAAGGAGAGCAGCAGAAUACGGACCCUGGACUUCAGAAAAGCAGACUUUGACUCCCUCAGGGAACUGAUGGGCAGGAUCCCCUGGGAGAAUAACAUGAGGGGGAAAGGAGUCCAGGAGAGCUGGCUGGAUUUUAAAGAAUCCUCAUUGAGGUUACAGGGACAAACCAUCCCAAUGUGUGGAAAGAAUAGUAAAUAUGGCAGGCGACCAGCUUGGCUUAACAGUGAAAUCCUUGCUGAUCUUAAACACAAAAAAGAAGCUUACAAGAAGUGGAAGAUUGGACAAAUGACCAGGGAAGAGUAUAAAAAUAUUGCUCGGGCAUGCAGGAGUGAAAUCAGGAAGGCCAAAUCACACCUGGAGUUGCAGCUAGCAAGAGAUGUUAAGAGUAACAAGAAGGGUUUCUUCAGGUAUGUUAGCAACAAGAAGAAAGUCAAGGAAAGGGUGGGCCCCUUACUGAAGGAGGGAGGCAACCUAGUGACAGAGGAUGUGGAAAAAGCUAAUGUACUCAAUGCUUUUUUUGCCUCUGUCUUCAUGAACAAGGUCAGCUCCCAGACUACUGCACUGGGCAGCACAGCAUGGGGAGGAGGUGACCAGCCCUCUGUGGAGAAAGAAGUGGUUUGGGACUAUUUAGAAAAGCUGGACGAGCACAAGUCCACGGGGCCGGAUGCGCUGCAUCCGAGAGUGCUAAAGGAGUUGGCGGAUGUGAUUGCAGAGCCAUUGGCCAUGAUCUUUGAAAACUCAUGGCAAUCGGGGGAAGUCCCGGACAACUGGAAAAGGACUAAUGUAGUGCCCAUCUUUAAAAAAGGGAAGGAGGAGGAUCCUGGGAACUACAGGCCAGUCAGCCUCACCUCAGUGCCAUCAUGGAGCGGGUCCUCAAGGAAUCAAUUCUGAAGCACUUAGAGGAGAGGAAAGUGAUCAGGAACAGUCAGCAUGGAUUCACCAAGGGCAAGUCAUGCCUGACUAACCUAAUUGCCUUCUAUGACGAGAUAAGUGGCUCUGUGGAUGAGGGGAAAGCAGUGGACGUUUGUUCCUUGACUUUAGCAAAGCUUUUGACACGGUCUCCCACAGUGUUCUUGCCGGCAAGUUAAAGAAGUAUGGGCUGGAUGAAUGGACUAGAAGGUGAAUAGAAAGCUGGCUAGAUUGUCGGGCUCAACAGGUGUUGAUCAAUGGCUCUAAGUCUAGUUAGCAGCCGGUAUCAAGUGGAGUGCCCCAAGGGUCGGUUCUGGGGCCGGUUUUGUUCAAUAUCUUCAUAAAUGAUCUGGAGGAUGGUGUGGAUUGCACCCUCAGCAAGUUUGCAGAUGACACUAAACUGGGAGGAGUGGUAGAUACACUGGAGGUAGGGAUAGGAUACAGAGGGACCCAGACAAAUUGGAGGAUUGGGCCAAAAGAAAUCUGAUGAAGUUCAACAAGGAGAAGUGCAGAGUCCUGCACUUAGGACAGAAGAAUCCCAUGCACCGCUACAGACUAGGGACCGAAUGGCUCGGCAGCAGUUCUGCGGAAAAGGAUCUAGUGGUUACAGUGGACGAGAAGCUGGAUAUGAGUCAACAGUGUGCCCUUGUUGCCAAGAAGGCCAAUGGCAUUUUGGGAUGUAUACGUAGGGGCAUUGCCAGCAGAUCGAGGGAUGUGAUCGUUCUCCUCUAUUAGACAUUGGUGAGGCCUCAUCUGGAGUACUGUGUCCAGUUUUGGGCCCCACACUACAAGAAGGAUGUGGAAAAAUUGGAGAGAGUCCAGCGAAGGGCAACAAAAAUGAUGAGGGGACUGGAACACAUGAGUUAUGAGGAGAGGCUGAGGGAACUCGGGAUGUUUGGUCUGCAGAAGAGAAGAAUGAAGGGGGAUUUGAUAGCUGCUUUCAACUACCUGAAAGGGGGUUCCAAAGAGGGUGGCUCUAGACUGUUCUCAGUGGUAUCAGAUGACAGAACAAGGAGUGAUGGUCUCAAGUUGCAGUGGGGGAGAUUUAGGUUGGAUAUUAGGAAAAACUUUUUCACUCGGAGGGUGGUGAAACACUGGAAUGGGUUACCUAGGGAGGCGGUGGAAUCUCCUUCCUUAGAAGUUUGUAAGGUCAGGCUUGACAUAGCCCUGGCUGGGAUGAUUUAGUUGGGGAUUGGUCCUGCUUUGAGCAGGGGGUUGGACUAGAUGACCUCCUGAGGUCCCUUCCAACCCUGAUAUUCUAUGAUUCUAUGAAUGGCGUCGGCCUGCAAACUGAGUCAUGCAUGGACUUGUGACUUGCCCAUGUGACUCCAGACUCCAUCUUGCUGCUGUGAUUUUCCACAAUAAGAACAAAGGGGUGGCCUUCCACCUGGCAGAGAAUAUAAACCCCUCCAUCUUGUCUUAAGUCCUGCUUCUGACCUCUGGACUUUGCUACACCCAUCCCAGCUGUGGAUUUACUCCAGAGACUUGAUUUGAACCUGCAGUUUAUUCCUUCACUGCUACAAGCCUGAACCAAGAACUUUGCCAUUCCUGGAUGUCAUUGAUUCCAUUUAACCAA